UUUCGUUUUCACUAAAAUCCUGGUACUUCUUACAAACACAAAAAUCACUUCUUCUGCCUCCUCCGUUCUUCAUCGCCGAAUCCGUUCUUUAUCAUUGAAACCGCUCUUCAUCACCGAAUACGACCGUUCUUCAUCACCAACCUCCUCCGUUCUUCAUCGUCGACCUCCUCUGUGGCCGUCACCACCACUCGCGACUGCAAAGACCUCCGUUCUUCUUAGUUUUUUGCAUCCAAGUAACCAAAAACUCUCACAGUGGUGAACUCAACUUCAACAAUCAAUCUUAGAUUUUCAAACCGUAAUGUUUCCAAUUCUUUACUACUUCUUGCUUCUUCUUUUACAAUAUUGAAAUACUCGAUUCCAACACUAAGCAAAUCAAAGACUCCAUUUCCAAAUCCAAACAAGUCGGCGAUGGCAUCCGCCUUGGACCAAAGCUCGAGAUUUCCAGUUAUGGUUGCGAAGACCACUUCAUAGAACUGUACACCGUUAACCACGCGAUAUAUUGGUUGGUGAUUGGACUGAUUGCAUAGCGUGCAGUAUUGGAAUGCUAUUAUCAAAGGUUCUAAGAGAUAUAACUGCGGGUUUUGUGUUUUAACCGAAAGAUUAUUAUGAUAAGACCCAAAAUGUGGCUUGUAAAUGAUGGUAAUUAUCGAGAACUUCGAUGGUUUAAUGCUUGGAAACAAAGGGGCCAACUUGAUGAUUUUCAGCUUCCGCUUCACGUUUCUGAGGCAUUGGGCCAAAAAUCAGUUCCUUUUGGUUACAACUUUGUUAAGUUUCAAGACACAGCUUGCGUUAAAUGAGGUUGAAGUGAUUAUGAAUGCAAGUGGAAGUCGCCACCAACUUAGAAAGCUUGAUGUUCGUCUUCGUGCUUUUAUAGGCGCCACUCAUACUCGUUAAGGGAUCUAUAUGUAUAGUAAUACUCAAUUGUUUAGUCAAGUUAGAAGAAGUUAUAUCAAACCUCAUUAAUCAAAUGAUUCAAAGAUCAAGUUGAAGUGUUACUCAAUUUUUUAGUCAAGUUAGAGGAUAUUGCAGUUUGAAAGAGAUAAAGUGUGAAAUCUCGCCUUGUCGUGCGUUUAACAUCUUAGAGUGACCAGUUUAACUAUAAAAUGUCAAGGGUAUGUCUUGAAGUACUAAUGCAGUCACACACACAGAUAGAAUUUUUUUUUUAAACCCUUUAUGAUUUCAUAGAAUUUCUCCAAAACCUAUCAAGGCAUGUAUGAAAUUGAUUAAGAAGUAUGUCUAAUAUA